UGGGGAAUUUUGGACAAUGGGGGAAACCCUGAUCCAGCCAUCCCGCGUGUGCGAUGAAGGCCUUCGGGUUGUAAAGCACUUUUGGCAGGAAAGAAACGUCAUGGGUUAAUACCCCGUGAAACUGACGGUACCUGCAGAAUAAGCACCGGCUAACUACGUGCCAGCAGCCGCGGUAAUACGCAGGGUGCAAGCGUUAAUCGGAAUUACUGGGCGUAAAGCGUGCGCAGGCGGUUCGGAAAGAAAGAUGUGAAAUCCCAGAGCUCAACAUUGGAACUGCAUUUUUCACUACCGGGCUUGAGUGUGUCAGAGGGAGGUGGAAUUCCGCGUGUAGCAGUGAAAUGCGUAAAUAUGCGGAGGAACAACGAUGGCGAAGGCAGCCUCCUGGGAUAACACUGACGCUCAUGCACGAAAGCGUGGGGAGCAAACAGG
rnacentral:rRNA from 1 species